rnacentral:rRNA from 1 species
AAUAGAUACCCGGGUAGUCCACGCCGUAAACUAUGAUUACUCGAUGUCGGCGAUAUACUGUCGGUGUCCAAGCGAAAGUGAUAAGUAAUCCACCUGGGGAGUACGAUCGCAAGGUUGAAACUCAAAGGAAUUGACGGGGGCCCGCACAAGCGGUGGAGCAUGUGGUUUAAUUCGAUGAUACGCGAGGAACCUUACCUGGGCUUGAAUGCAUUAUGACCGUCCCGGAAACGGGACUUUCUUCGGACAGAAUGCAAGGUGCUGCAUGGUUGUCGUCAGCUCGUGCUGUGAGGUGUCGGGUUAAGUCCCAUAACGAGCGCAACCCCUAUUCUUAGUUGCCAGCGGGUAAUGCCGGGGACUCUAAGAAAACUGCCCGCGUAAGCGGUGAGGAAGGUGGGGAUGACGUCAAAUCAUCACGGCCCUUACGUCCAGGGCUACACACGUGCUACAAUGGUCAGUACAAAGGGCAGCUACCUGGUGACAGGAUGCUAAUCUCGAAAACUGAUCUCAGUUCGGAUCGAAGUCUGCAACUCGUA